AGAUGCCGUCUGAGCUCCGGAGGUGAGAAGGAACAGGUGCUCGCUCAUCAGAGAGGAGGAGGAUACGAGAGCAGCUCGCCAGCACUCCUACGCCUGAGUGUUUGCCUAUUGUGGCUUGACUCCAGUCCGGCUACGGCUCUGUUGAUUCCUCGUUGUGCUGAUUUCCUCGUCUCAAGUUCCAAGUGAAGUUCCUGGAUUCCGUUUCCAGCUGGCGACGGCUAAAACCUCAUCCUUUCUGGCUCAAGACCCAAGCGAACCCUGUCCCCCCUCCGACGUACUUACCUCCGAGCCCGGCACCUAUACUCGUCAUUCAAUAAGAAAACAAACCCCAGAAAAACCUCACCACUGUGUGAAGGAACUUAACCCUGUAUGCUGAGUGAAGGAUUGGGUGGAAUACAACUUCAAGCGGGCACAGAAUUCAUCCAUCCGACCCCACUUUGUCUCCCUCUCAUACUAAGCUCCAUCCAUCCAACCAUGGAUGCGAUCCAGUUCCAGUUCCUGUUAUCAUAUCGAUUCAUCAAAAAUAAACUAUUUCUUUUUCUCC